UGAGUAAGUCAGAUAGUCGCGUGUAUGAUACCGAAAGGUUGUACAUGAGGAAAGUCCGGGCUCCAUAGGGCAGGGUGCCGGGUAACCCCCGGUGAAGGCGACUUCAAGGAUAGUGCAACAGAGAUAUACCGCCUGUUGGAAAUUCGUUUUCCGGCAUGGCAAGGGUGGAAAGGUGAGGUAAGAGCUCACCAGCGGCAUGGCGACUUGCCGGCUAUGUAAACCCCACCUGGAGCAACACCGCAAGAGGGACGUUAAGGUGGCCCGCUAGUCCCGGGUAGGUGGCUUGAACUUUACAGUAAUGUAAAGUCUAGAUAGAUGACUAUCGAAUACAGAACCCGGCUUAUAGACUUGCUCAAUAA
rnacentral:RNase_P_RNA from 4 species